UUCUGGUUCUGGUUCUGACCUGUGUGUGUGUGUCCUCUAGGUUCUGGUUCUGGUUCUGACCUGUGUGUGUGUCCUCUAGGUUCUGGUUCUGGUUCUGACCUGUGUGUGUGUCCUCUAGGUUCUGGUUCUGGUUCUGACCUGUGUGUGUGUCCUCUAGGUUCUGGUUCUGGUUCUGACCUGUGUGUGUGUGUGUCCUCUAGGUUCUGGUUCUGGUUCUGACCUGUGUGUGUGUCCUCUAGGUUCUGGUUCUGGUUCUGACCUGUGUGUGUGUGUCCUCUAGGUUCUGGUUCUGACCUGUGUGUGUGUCCUCUAGGUUCUGGUUCUGACCUGUGUGUGUGUGUGUCCUCUAGGUUCUGGUUCUGGUUCUGACCUGUGUGUGUGUCCUCUAGGUUCUGGUUCUGGUUCUGACCUGUGUGUGUGUCCUCUAGGUUCUGGUUCUGGUUCUGACCUGUGU